UCUCUCGUUGUUUUAAUUACAUCGAUGUAUGGUAUCCUUAUCUAUACAUGUUUAGUCAUAACUACAUUAUACUUUAAACCGUUGUCUGUUACAAAUCUAAAGAAGGAAGAUCUUCUAUUGCUUUAACAGUUAUGGUAGUUCCCUCAAAGGUUGCUACAGCAUUAGGUUUGCAACUAUGAUCCAGAAUAGAAGGUCCCAAAUAAAUACCAACACCAAUAUUCAUAUCCAAAUUAAAUAUACU